GCACGAACCGGCUUCGGCCGGGGAGUGAGUGGCAGACGGGUGAGUAACGCGUGGGAACGUGCCUCAAGGUUCGGGAUAACCCGGGGAAACUCGGGCUAAUACCGGAUGUGCCCUUCGGGGGAAAGAUUUAUCGCCUUGGGAUCGGCCCGCGUAGGAUUAGCUUGUUGGUGAGGUAACGGCUCACCAAGGCUUCGAUCCUUAGCUGUUCUGAGAGGAAGAUCAGCCACACUGGGACUGAGACACGGCCCAGACUCCUACGGGAGGCAGCAGUGGGGAAUCUUGGACAAUGGGGGCAACCCUGAUCCAGCCAUGCCGCGUGGGUGAAGAAGGCCCUAGGGUUGUAAAGCCCUUUCGCCGGUGAAGAUAAUGACGGUAACCGGUAAAGAAGCCCCGGCUAACUUCGUGCCAGCAGCCGCGGUAAUACGAAGGGGGCUAGCGUUGUUCGGAAUCACUGGGCGUAAAGCGCACGUAGGCGGACUGGCCAGUCAGGGGUGAAAGCCCGGAGCUCAACUCCGGAAUUGCCCUUGAUACUGUCAGUCUGGAGACCGGGAGAGGAGAGUGGAAUUCCCAGUGUAGAGGUGAAAUUCGUAGAUAUUGGGAAGAACACCAGUGGCGAAGGCGGCUCUCUGGCCCGGGUCUGACGCUGAGGUGCGAAAGCGU
rnacentral:rRNA from 1 species